rnacentral:rRNA from 1 species
GACGAACGCUGGCGGCGUGCUUAACUCAUGCAAGUCGAACGGAAAGGCCCUGCUUUUGUGGGGUGCUCGAGUGGCGAACGGGUGAGUAACACGUGAGUAACCUGCCCUUGUCUUUGGGAUAACUUCAGGAAACUGGGGCUAAUACCGGAUAGGAGCUCCUGCUGCAUGGUGGGGGUUGGAAAGUUUCGGCGGUUGGGGAUGGACUCGCGGCUUAUCAGCUUGUUGGUGGGGUAGUGGCUUACCAAGGCUUUGACGGGUAGCCGGCCUGAGAGGGUGACCGGCCACAUUGGGACUGAGAUACGGCCCAGACUCCUACGGGAGGCAGCAGUGGGGAAUAUUGCACAAUGGGCGGAAGCCUGAUGCAGCAACGCCGCGUGCGGGAUGACGGCCUUCGGGUUGUAAACCGCUUUCGCCUGUGACGAAGCGUGAGUGACGGUAAUGGGUAAAGAAGCACCGGCUAACUACGU